GGAGCCCCUCAUGGUCCCGGUUUAAAGUCUUUUCUUCCCAGCGUGAUCGGAAGCGUGAGUCUCCACAGCAGCACAGGGUGAAGCAAUGAAUGAAGUGAGGGAGAUGGAGGCACGCGCAUUGUCGGAUCCAUACGCGCCUGGAGCAGGUGGAGGAGGAGGAAUCUGAAGCUGGUCCACUCUCUUUGUGCCCUGUGGUGUCUGCUGGGAGUUUUGCCUGCAUCAACAGCCGUCUCAUGGCGGGGUCCAGAUCCUUAAACUUCACCAAGUAGAAAUGGAACAGAAGGAGACUGAUUACAGACUUAUUUUAGUAUGUCUGUGUUUUAUUUCAUUUGGCUCAUGUAUUAGUGUUUUAUGUGCAUGUUUUGACUCACUGAACUGGUGGCUGGUGGAUCUAUGUUGCAUAGUGCGUCCACGGGGAAAUGCUCCUCCCUAUCCAAAUGUUCCACUGGUCUCAUUCUUCAGAGAAGAGAAAUAAACAGUGAACCAUCCCUUGA